AACGAACGCUGGCGGCAUGCCUAACACAUGCAAGUCGAACGAGACCUUCGGGUCUAGUGGCGCACGGGUGCGUAACGCGUGGGAACCUGCCCUUAGGUUCGGAAUAACUCCCCGAAAGGGGUGCUAAUACCGGAUAAUGUCUUCGGACCAAAGAUUUAUCGCCUUUGGAUGGGCCCGCGUUGGAUUAGCUCGUUGGUAGGGUAAAAGCCUACCAAGGCGACGAUCCAUAGCUGGUCUGAGAGGAUGAUCAGCCACACUGGGACUGAGACACGGCCCAGACUCCUACGGGAGGCAGCAGUUGGGAAUAUUGGACAAUGGGCGAAAGCCUGAUCCAGCAAUGCCGCGUGAGUGAUGAAGGCCUUAGGGUUGUAAAGCUCUUUUACCCGGGAUGAUAAUGACAGUACCGGGAGAAUAAGCUCCGGCUAACUCCGUG
rnacentral:rRNA from 1 species